GAUGAACGCUGGCGGCGUGCCUAAUACAUGCAAGUCGAGCGAACGGACGAGAAGCUUGCUUCUCUGAUGUUAGCGGCGGACGGGUGAGUAACACGUGGAUAACCUACCUAUAAGACUGGGAUAACUUCGGGAAACCGGAGCUAAUGCCGGAUAAUAUUUUGAACCGCAUGGUUCAAAAGUGAAAGACGGUCUUGCUGUCACUUAUAGAUGGAUCCGCGCUGCAUUAGCUAGUUGGUAAGGUAACGGCUUACCAAGGCAACGAUGCAUAGCCGACCUGAGAGGGUGAUCGGCCACACUGGAACUGAGACACGGUCCAGACUCCUACGGGAGGCAGCAGUAGGGAAUCUUCCGCAAUGGGCGAAAGCCUGACGGAGCAACGCCGCGUGAGUGAUGAAGGUCUUCGGAUUGUAAAACUCUGUUAUUAGGGAAGAACAUAUGUGUAAGUAACUGUGCACAUCUUGACGGUACCUAAUCAGAAAGCCACGGCUAACUACGUG
rnacentral:rRNA from 1 species